rnacentral:misc_RNA from 1 species
AAUACUGGUUUUAUGGUAUAGCGGGUAUCGGUGCACAUACGUAAUUAAGGAUACGCUCACAUGUCUAUAGCGUGUAGUUAAACUUUCAUGAACUCCACUCCUGUUUGUUAGCGAAGGCUUUGUUAUUUAUUGUAGCGCUACCGACAAGUUUCGUGCAUUUCAUCCCAGGCGACUUUGUUGAGAUAAUUGAUUAAUUGUACUGAAAUUCAGAAAAUGACGACCUUCAUUUCAAAGGUUACGACAAUUCGGCCUGGCAUCAUCCGCAUAUUGGGGUGUAAUCCAGGCCCCAUGACCCUGCAGGGCACCAACACCUACCUCAUCGGUACAGGUACAAAGCGUGUUCUGUUGGAUGUAGGGGAAGCAAGAAAUGCUGAGUAUAUCACAUCCCUGGAGUCUGUCCUGCAGCAGCAGAACACCACCAUAAACCAGAUAGUCAUCUCUCAUUGGCACCAUGACCACAUCGGAGGUCUAAAAGAUGUCCUGAAAUGUCUGCCUGAGCCAGUGAGUGUGUACAAGAUUCCAAGAUUUGACAAAGAUGAUGAUCCCAUGCUAAAUUUGACAACCUACAUCCCUCUCAAACAUCUAGAUGAAAUCAAGACACAAGAAGCUACCCUCAGAGUCAUCAACAGUGUGAAAGAUGUGCAGUAUACGGCGUCACUUAGAGAAACAUGGAUUCCAAGAGGACUAGAGGAAGCCAGGGUAACAAAGAGGAAAUUAUAUGGAAUUGCCAAUUUUCCAAAUGUGAUUGGCAUCAUCGAUGGAACACACAUCCCGAUUGCUGCCCCACCAGUUGAUGAAGAACUCUACAUCAAUAGAAAGAAUUUCCAUUCACUGAACAUAAAAGUUGUGUGUAAUGCAGACUACAUUUUUCAAGACUAUUGCUGCCGUUUCCCUGGAAGCACAUAUGAUUAAUUUGUAUGGGAGAACAGCAUCCUCAAAAGGAGAUUCCAGCAGGGUGAAUUCGGAGAUGUCUUUCUUCUUGGUGACAGUGGGUACCCUGUCAACAUUCACUUGAUGACACCAAUUGGAAAGCCAGCUAAUGCUGGCGAACAAAGAUUCAACAUCAGCCUGAAGAAAACACGUGUCGUGGUUGAGUAGGCAAUUGGCAUUUGGAAGUCACUCUUCAAGUGUGUCCAUCAUAAAGGUGGCACACUUUGUUAUAGUCCCUUGAAGUGUGGAAAGAUUGCUGCAGCAACUAUGUUGCUUCACAAUUUCUGCAGAAAGAGGAAUCUUCCACUCCUGGAUGAAGUAGUAGUCAACCCUGAUGACAUAGAUGAACCUGUGUUUGUUCCUGCAGCAGCUGGUGGUGGAGGAUGGGAUGCAAGGGCAAUAGCUGGGAAUGCAAUGAGAAGGCAAAUCAUUGCAUAACACUUCUCAUAGUCUGAAAAGGGGGGAUAUAGUUGUAUAAAGUAAGUUUUAGUGUGUUGAGCGAUGCUGGUUGUUCCACUGUUGAUGGUGCUUACUAUGUUCAUCAUUCUUGGGACAUAGGAUACCUUCUACAAAUAAGGUAAUGUUAAGAAUAUACAUGAUAGGUUGUUUAUUGCAGUUUACACUGCAUAUAUAAUUAAUUUUGUAAAUACAAAAGUAAAAAAAAUAGGUUCUCUAUUAUAAGUAACUGUAUAAUAUCACAUUAUUCAUUUGGUAUGUAUCAUAAUAGGUAACUAUAAUAUCACAUUAUUAAUUUGGUAUGUACUAUCUGAUAGACUAAUUACACAAAUUGUAAUGCAUAGCCAGUUACAAAAAUGUUUACCUGAUUUCUUGACCCAUUGCAAUAUUCAACUAAUGUUACUUGUACUUGAGUCACCACUCUAACCCAUUCUUGCAGCAACAUAUUGGCCAUAUAUUUAGUAGCUUUUCUUAAAUACUGCUUCAGUUUUUUGUCCUAGUGUUGUAUUUAGCUCACCAUUACCUUUCC